UGUGAAUGAUGACAUGUCUUUCCCUGACAUCAGUGUGAGGGCAAAAACUGAUUUAAUGAGCCUGACAC
rnacentral:snoRNA from 1 species